CCAGGCCCGGCCCAACACGGCACGCUGGCCACGCCUCCGCGUUGGGCGCCACCUUCCCAGGGGCGCUAUUGAGUUUGGAAAGGACUGCCCAACUGAGCUGAAGUCCAGGCUGCUGGGGCUUGCCUCCUGGAGAUGCUUUGGAGGGCGCUGGGGCAAAGGAGCCUCACUGAAGCUCUGGGCGGGCGCCCUUUGGGACAAAGCAGUGCCUCUCUUCCCCCGUUUGGCAGCAGAUGAGAGCCAGGUUGGCCUCCUUGGACCUGCUUCGGCUUCCCUCCCCUUUGCCUUUACAGCCGGAGAGCCAGGGCUGCCUGCACAUGCAAAAUGGAAAGGACACACGAAGUGGGAAAGGCCGGGUGGAUCUCUCCUACUUGUUCAGGAUGGGCUCCCAUUGGCUAUUUGGCGCUGUUUCAGCCGAUACUGGCCUAUGGGAGCUCUCCUUCCUUUUCUCCCUCCCUCCCUCCCUCUCCCGUGCCUGGAAGCCACGCCCCCUCCUGUUGCUUUCCUCCAUUAGCAGCAGCCAGGCCAGCAACGCGCGCCCUACGAGUAUAAUGAAGAUUAGAGUUCAAAAUUCUAAAACUAGGUCACAAGUGUGAGUAAAUGAGGAGCGGGAAAUUGCCUACAAGGUGACAAAGAGCCUGAAGAUCAGCCGUGAAGACACUUUUGCCUACUUUAUUGGAGUUUCUUUCACAGUCUGCCAUCAUUUAUCUUCCACUGAAAGCACAAAGAAUGAGGCAACAAAGUACAAGCAAAGGCACUUUCAGAAUCUGCUGGAAGAGAAUAAAACAUUGGUGAUCUGAAGAGACUCAUGUUUAAAAUUCCCUUAUGCACCCCUAUUUAAUAUUAAAACAAUUAAGCAAUUGCUGCAGUGUAAUUAUAAUCUAUCCAUCCAUUCCCCUAGUAUAUACUCUUCUUGCCUUUUCUUUCAUGUGGAUUUCAGUUAGCACACUCCAGACCAUUUGAGCAGUAUUUCUGUGUAGUAAUUUACCAAGGACAGCUUUUGAAGAAUUCACAUUUAUGCCAAUAUGGCAGGAGAGGCUGUCCAAUUUUGCUUCUAGUCUAAUUCAAACUAGUCCAAUUUCACUUUGCACCUAGAAUGUGGCUCUUGCUUACAAAAUAUUCAUUAUAUAUAAUGAAUUGUUAUUACUAAAAAUAAUGCACUAUGCUACAUUUGUUUGUGAUGUUUCCUGCAACUCAGAACCUUUACAUCAGGAAAUGAGAGAUGGGUAAUUUAACAUUGUAAAAACGCAAACUGCAACAAAAAUGUUACAUUAUAGUCUUACUUCCAAUAUGAAUGAUCUUGUCCAGCAUUUGGAAGAAGUUUGGUCUUCUGUAAUUGUUUUUUAGCUGAAAAUAACAUGUACCCCUUUACUAUGCCAGGGAUACGAAAAGGGUGGGGAAGGGGUAGCUCUUGGUUCACAUGAGAACCCAGUUUUUCUUUUGCACCCACAAGCCUACCAGAACUCUUGAUAAAUAACAAAUGAGAAUAUUUGUGGGGAAAUCUCAUGACAACACAGGGAGUUUUAUCGUAGUAAUAUUACACCAAGUUUUCAAAUUUCUAAAAUUGACAUUUGUACAUUGUUGUAAAUAUAUUCAAUUUAAAACAGCCCUAUUAAAAAGCAGUAGCAUUGGAUGGG